rnacentral:rRNA from 1 species
UACGUAGGUGGCAAGCGUUACUCGGAAUCACUAGGCGUAAAGCGCAGGUAGGAGGUUUGGUAAGUCUGUUGUGAAAGCUCCCGGCUCAACUGGGAGAGGUCAACGGAAACUACCAGGCUGGAGUGCGGUAGAGGUAGCUGGAAUUCCCGGUGUAGCGGUGAAAUGCGUAGAUAUCGGGAGGAAUACCUAUGGCGAAAGCAGGCUACUGGACCGUCACUGACUCUGAUCUGCGAAAGCUAGGGGAGCAAACAGG